UGGGAUUACACGCGUGAGCCGCCAUGCCC
rnacentral:piRNA from 1 species